GAAUUUUUGCGUGACUCAAGCGCGGGUUUCCUGUUGCCUACUCCCCCACUUUGCGGCCUAGAGGAGGUUGGCGAUCGGGCACCUGGGCCAGUACGUUUUUAUUUUGAUUUCGCUUUGGCAAGCGCGGCGUCUCGUCUCCGCAUGGCAUGCGGGUUCGUCACCCGAACCGUGUGUCCUUUUCUUUCCUCGGGGAUUUCUACCGCGAUUGCAAACAGGACCAGAAGGGAAAAUGGGGGGGUGCAAGGGUGGCAAAAAAACGACCUUGUUGCGAAGACGCAUGAGAGGGACUCCUGCAAAAGCGUCCUAUAGGCGGCGGUUCUUUGUUUCAGUGGAGAAUUGCCUAAAUCCUCGUCGUUCGCCUCUCGGGUGCUGUUCCGCGAGAACCAUCGCUUCCACUGAGGGCGCUGAGCUUCCCUCACAAGGGUUGUGGUGAAUGGAUGUUGCCUUCAAGCGCGCCAGUGUGCAAGAAGGAGACCGAGAGAGACGGAGAGUGGAGUAGAUGAUAGCAAGGUAUGGACAGGCAGAGAAAGAGAUAGGACGAAGAAAAACCUAGUCUUUUAGAGCCUGCGCGAACUGCGCCCUGCGGGAAAUCAACAGAACAAACUGGACCGCCACUGCUUUAGCGUUUUCUCCCGGAGAUUCCAGGAGCUCGCCAAGACAUCUUGUGGACGCCCGUAUGUCGACGUCAGUCUAGUUCAUGCAGAGGAAAAGCGAUGUCAGAGGAAAGCUGCUUACUCCCCAAGUCAGCCCGACUUCGACUUCGCCUCUCCCUGCUCUACAUUCGUUCAUUCGCGUCGUGCGAAUGCAUGCAGACAAUAAAGAUAGAUUUGAAUCCGCGUACGUGUGGGUACUUGGAGAUGGACGAGCGAAGGCGCGUGCCAGUGAAAGCACUUUUGCACUUGCGAUACAUAUUUCUGGGAUGAUGAGCAGGCUGCUGGCCUUACGCGGGCGAAUUGCAUUAGAAUUUUUCUCCACGGAUCAAAACGCGUCGACACUAACAAAGCUCAAAAAUGCAAACAGGAAUACUCACAAUAUAUAUAUAUAUAUAUAUAUAUAUAUAUAUGUAGAGCUUGCUUCUACGGGCGCAUGUGGGUACAUAUAUAUAUAUAUAUAUAUAUAUAUAAAGAAGAGAGGGAAGCAUGGAUGUAUAUUUUAGAACAUUGAGGCCUGCGUGACCCUGUUUGGCGUCCCUCCCGUUGCCUGUUCCCGAGAGAAACUCUUUUCUUGUUAAGAAUCAGUUUCGAAACUUGGUGUUCAUUCAGCAGCUGUGCGGUGAGCGCGGAUUCAGCUUCUUGGUUUUUUCGUGGCACGCGAAACGCGUGCUUCUUCCGUCGCACACGCCUCCUUCGGGGUAUCUUUUUUAGCGUAGAGAAACUUGCGUGUAUGACAAUACGCAGAUAUGGAUUCGUCUGCACGGAUAUAAGCACACAUAUAAAAGCAUAUGCACAUGUUUAUUUACUCGUGUUUGACUGUCUGCACGUGCGC
rnacentral:lncRNA from 1 species